UACGUAGGGGGCAAGCGUUGUCCGGAAUCAUUGGGCGUAAAGCGCGUGUAGGCGGCCCGAUAAGUCCGCUGUGAAAGUCCAGGGCUCAACCCUGGGAUGCCGGUGGAUACUGUCGGGCUCGAGUCCGGAAGAGGCGAGUGGAAUUCCUGGUGUAGCGGUGAAAUGCGCAGAUAUCAGGAAGAACACCAAUGGCGAAAGCAGCUCUCUGGGACGGUACUGACGCUGAGACGCGAAAGCGUGGGGAGCAAACAGG
rnacentral:rRNA from 1 species